rnacentral:rRNA from 1 species
AGAGUUUGAUCCUGGCUCAGAUUGAACGCUGGCGGUAUGCCUUACACAUGCAAGUCGAACGGUAGAGGAGCAAUCCUCGAGAGUGGCGAACGGGUGAGUAAUACAUCGGAACGUGCCCAGUCGUGGGGGAUAACGUAGCGAAAGCUACGCUAAUACCGCAUACGACCCGAGGGUGAAAGCGGGGGACUCGCAAGAGCCUCGCGCGAUUGGAGCGGCCGAUGGCAGAUUAGGUAGUUGGUGGGGUAAAGGCCCACCAAGCCUGCGAUCUGUAGCUGGUCUGAGAGGACGACCAGCCACACUGGGACUGAGACACGGCCCAGACUCCUACGGGAGGCAGCAGUGGGGAAUUUUGGACAAUGGGCGAAAGCCUGAUCCAGCCAUACCGCGUGCGGGAAGAAGGCCUUCGGGUUGUAAACCGCUUUUGUCAGGGAAGAAAUACUUCGGGCUAAUACCCUGGGGUGAUGACGGUACCUGAAGAAUAAGCACCGGCUAACUACGUGCCAGCAGCCGCGGUAAUACGUAGGGUGCAAGCGUUAAUCGGAAUUACUGGGCGUAAAGCGUGCGCAGGCGGUUCUAUAAGACAGAUGUGAAAUCCCCGGGCUCAACCUGGGAACUGCAUUUGUGACUGUAGAGCUAGAGUACG